rnacentral:rRNA from 1 species
AUUGAACGCUGGCGGCAUGCUUUACACAUGCAAGUCGAACGGCAGCGCGGGGGCAACCCUGGCGGCGAGUGGCGAACGGGUGAGUAAUGCAUCGGAACGUAUCCUGUAAUGGGGGAUAACGUAGCGAAAGUUACGCUAAUACCGCAUACGUCCUGAGGGAGAAAGCGGGGGACCGUAAGGCCUCGCGCGAUUGGAGCGCCGAUGUCGGAUUAGCUAGUUGGUAGGGUAAAGGCCUACCAAGGCGACGAUCCGUAGCGGGUCUGAGAGGAUGAUCCGCCACACUGGGACUGAGACACGGCCCAGACUCCUACGGGAGGCAGCAGUGGGGAAUUUUGGACAAUGGGCGAAAGCCUGAUCCAGCCAUGCCGCGUGAGUGAAGAAGGCCUC